GUUGUCUCUGUUACUGACUUUUUUUUUUUUUUUUUUUUUUUUUUUUUUUGAGACAGGGUUUCUCUGUGUAGCUUUGGAGCCUAUCCUGGCUCUCCCUCUGGAGACCAGGCUGGCUUUGAACUCACAGAGAUCCGCCUGCCUUGCCUCCCGAGUGCUGGGACUAAAGGCGUGCGCCACCACUGCCCGGCUCUUACCGACUCUUACUAUUAUUAUUGACUCUCUUAUUGAGUGCUAGGCCUACGGGUGUUCUCAUGGGGUGGGGUGGAUGUGGCCUGGUCAGCGAAUGCAGAACCUUGAGCUUAUGUUUCAACUGAGUCUGGAGCAAGGCAUCAGUGACAAAUGGCCAAGAUGACCUGUGCCAGUCAAAGCCAGAUUCUAGACUAGAGAAGGUGAAUUAAGAGAAGGAGGCCUUCACUAGGAUGGCAGAUAUGGUGGAUGGAUGGAGCCUUGCCCAAGAUCCUGAAGGUGACAGCCCUGUACUGCCUUCUUCAUAUUUCAUGAAUGGCUAAAAAUAAACUUCUGUUUUAAACCAGU
rnacentral:lncRNA from 1 species